GCCUUCGUGGUGUAACGGUUAGCAUACUUAACUUGCAUUCGAGAGGUCCAGGUUCGAGUCCCGGCGAGGGCG